GGAACACCUGUAACAGGACAGGGAGUUCUGCUCAGGCACGUGGCCACAGAAAACUACUUAGGAAGCCUGUGGUGAGAACAACAACAGCGCCUGGAGAAUCCCACGGCUCUGGGGAAGUGAGCCCCGAGGAUGAGGCUGCUCGCCUGGCUGAUUUUCCUGGCUAACUGGGGAGGUGCCAGGGCUGAACCAGAUGAGGCAAAUGAGUCUCAGAGGGGACAUUGCAUUUGCUGAAGAUCUCCCAGCUGGGAAAUGGCAGGACAAAGCCUGUGCCUGGCUGUACUAUGCUUCAUGUCCUCUUGGGAUGGUGGGGUUUAGAGGCACCCUUAUAGGCACUGAGGACAUAGAGGUAAACAAGACGGGCUUGGUGCUCUCAUGGAACUGACAUUGUAAACAGGGAAGAGGGACAAUAAGCAAGCCAACAAGAGGAAGCGCAAGGACUUUGUGCCCAAGAGAAAGGCAAAGGGCCUCCCCCGACAUCCAUCCUGGCCAGCCUGGCUCUGGGCUUGGAAGCAGGGAAGUUCUGGCACAUCGCUGACCUGCACCUUGACCCUGACUACAAGGUAUCCAAAGACCCCUUCCAGGUGUGCCCAUCAGCUGGAUCCCAGCCAGUGCCCGACGCAGGCCCCUGGGGUGACUACCUCUGUGAUUCUCCCUGGGCCCUCAUCAACUCCUCCAUCUAUGCCAUGAAGGAGAUUGAGCCAGAGCCAGACUUUAUUCUCUGGACUGG
rnacentral:sRNA from 1 species